rnacentral:rRNA from 1 species
AUGUCUGCACCAACCGUGUCAUAUAGGGCCUCGCUCGACGACGCGGAGGUGAACAUUGGGUCUCCUCCACUUGCUUCCUUCGACUUCCAUGUUGAGGAGCCGGCGGGUGAGGAGGAGGAAGAAGAUGAAGAUGUCAUCGAGAUCGGAGAGGAAGUGUUUGAAGCGGGAGGUGGUGCUCGAAGGCCAAUUCGCACGACAAACUACACGGAGGUUGAAGAUGUCCUCUUGGUCAAGGCUUGGUUGCAAGUGGGGUUGGAUGCUGUCAUCGGCACCGAUCAAACCGGGAAACGCUAUUGGCAAUGCAUUGAGGACAGGUAUUGCAAGCUGAAACCCAAGACUGCCACAUUGAGAGCUCGUUCUUACAGAUCGCUUCAAGGCCGGUGGGGGUUGAUGAAACCCGCUUGUGCUCGUUGGAGUGCGGCUAUGGAUCAAGUGAGGGAUCAACCCCCAAGUGGCUGCGUUGAGAGUGAUUAUGAGAAAUAUGCCGACUUGAGGUACAAGGACAUGGACGGUUCCAAGGGCAAAUCCUUCCCAUUCAAGCAUUGUUGGGCAUUGCUCCAACAUCUUGACAAAUGA